GGCCCUUUCUCGAGCCAAGGUCGAUCUCAGCAUGUUGAUCUCCUGUCUCAUGAAAUCUUCCUCGGCUUCCCCAUUUAUGUGUCUUGGACGCAAACGUCUAAAGACAACAUUGGCCUGCAUAUGUCCAAACAGUGCUCAAGCUAGUACCCAGAUAUCCAAUUAAGAACAGAAAGACAUAAAAAUAAAGAAAUGAUUAUUUACCUUAGCCAGAUAGCUCAUCCCUUCAUCGAGCAGAUUCCCGUCCAUGUGAUCACUGAACCGAUGAUCGUCAGCGUUCCUUACGAAGGUCUCGAAUAGGUCGAACGGAAAGUUAGCAUUGAAUCUAGGCCACAGAGUCGGAGAUCCCAUGGCCUCGGCAUGAUAACCCUGACCUGAAGGACCAGGUCGUUCAGGCGAGGGUCUUGACCUUUCUGGGGAAGGAGCUGGUUGCUCAAGAGGAGUA
rnacentral:lncRNA from 1 species